UAGCUCUACAAUCACUAAACAUCGCGUUUUCGAUUAGUGCUUGCAGUGUCUCUCUCUCUCUCGCGUCUCCACCCUUCCUCCAUUGCCAAUCUUUCGUCUUCCUCCUUCUUCCGGUGGGAGAUGAAGCAGUAACCGAUACCCACUCAUAAAGUCCUCCUUAAUCAAUUAUACACGAUUUCCAUUCAAUGCGACCCUGGAGAGUGCAAGACGGUGGAGGCUCUGCUAUAAAAAGACUGGCCGCUCCUCCUCCUCUAUUCAAGUUUGCCUGCUCCGAUUUUGGGAGGCCAGAAACGUCUGGCGUGGGGGAGAGCUUAUGGAAGUCGACAUGCUCUUUCUAGAUUUUCAUGUUAUCUGUUUACUACUAUUAUUGUUUAGAUUUUUGAUUAUAUCUCCAGUUAAAUUCUAUACAAAUUGCCACCGUCUUGAUUCCAGAUACAAUAAUAAUUCAUUGUGUUUUGGAGUUCUUGCCGUAGAAUAAUGGCUGACCCAUUUCCCAGCUAUUGAUGUUUGAUAUAUUUUUUUCUAAUCUUCGUAUUUUUACGGCUGAGAAAAUAAACCGUUUCAGAAAGUUAGUUGAUGUUUAUAUAUGUUCCACCAUGCUGGAUCCAUAUUACAAACUUCUUUCGUACCUAUUUUUUUGUUUUUUUCAAUUGAGGAAUUCUCAGCUUUGAUGAUUUCGUUGCUUAUAUUUCAGGCAACUAUGAUCCCGGCGAAGCUCACGAUGCUUCAAGUACACGAAGCUCACAGAGCAGUGGAAAUGGUUUGAUGCAUUGAAGCGAAACGAUGCAUCAUCUCGCCCUGGAAAUCAUUGGUGUUGGGAAGAAGAAGCUUUAUGCAGCUAAAGUGUGGGUGAAGCCAAGGUUGAACUUCAAGGAGUUGCAGGAGUUCAAGUCUGCCAAUGACGUUUCCCCCACCAUUACUCCCUUCUAUCUUGCCUGCAAAUAAGGGUUGUGUUUGAUCUAAUGGAAGGAUUAGAAUACUUUUACGCACUAGCUAUCUAUGGAAUGACCCGAGAGAGCAAAAUGAUGGAGCAUCAAGGAUCACAUCUGAUGUAGGGAUGAAAUGGGCUUAUUGCUAAGAACUCUGUUCUUCUUCCCACCUACUCAUUGACACGAAUCUAGGCUGCUGUUUCAUGCCUGAUCUUGGGUCAUUUGUGAGAUUUAACAUGUUGGUAACAGAGCUACUUUGAUAGAUCCAUCAUCACCCGAUUGUUUGUUAUCAGCAACGACGAACAGCAACAAUAUCGACAGAAGCCUGAAAACAGAGAACAACAAAAACUCAAAUCUUUGAAGAGAAAUACAGACAAGACAGGAAGUCACGUCCUUAUUGUUGACCAUCGUCACAAUGAUUCUGAGAGAUGAAGUUUCAAGCUCAUAUCCGAUGAGAAUCAAUGGAAGUCUAAGAAACCAGGAACAAAGAAAGAAAGAGUUGGUUCUUCAAAGAUCAGUUUCCAACAUUGAUAUUACGUGUAUACGCACACCAAUUAACCUAAUGUGCACACUACCACAAUCGAAUGGUAUGUCAAUGUAGCACUUUAAGAUCAAAUCCACAUAAACCAACGAUUACACUUUA